rnacentral:autocatalytically_spliced_intron from 2 species
AGACCCGGAUUUUUAUAGAUUUUAUAUCAGAGCAAAAUCUUAUACGGAUUUUGCCCGAAAAAUUGGGUCGUUGCAUCCUGAAAAGAUGUCUUUGUUGAGGAUGAAGAUAUAGUCCAAGCCCCGAUGAAAAUCGGGG